GAUGAACGCUGGCGGCGUGCCUAAUACAUGCAAGUCGAGCGAACAGACGAGGAGCUUGCUCCUCUGACGUUAGCGGCGGACGGGUGAGUAACACGUGGAUAACCUACCUAUCAGACUGGGAUAACUUCGGGCAACCGGAGCUAAUACUGGAUAAUAUAUUCAACCGCAUGGUUCAAUAGUGAAAGACGGUUUUGCUGUUACUUAUAGAUGGUUCCGCGCCGCAUUAGCUAGUUGGUAAGGUAACGGCUUACCAAGGCAACGAUGCGUAGCCGACCUGGGAGGGGGAUCGGCCACACUGGAACUGAGGCACGGGCCAGACUCCUACGGGAGGCAGCAGUAGGGAAUCUUCCGCAAUGGGCGAAAGCCUGACGGAGCAACGCCGCGUGGGUGAUGAAGGUCUUCGGAUCGUAAAACUCUGGUAUUAGGGAAGAACAAAUGUGUAAGUAACUAUGCACGUCUUGACGGUACCUAAUCAGAAAGCCACGGCUAACUACGUG
rnacentral:rRNA from 1 species